rnacentral:lncRNA from 1 species
AACCACUGGAAGAAGAAGGAAGCCAAAGUAUCUGAUGCACUGGAGAAUGAAAACCCGUUCAAAAUCAGAAGUAUAGAGAAGUUUUCUGUAAAAUGGAAAUGAGUAUCAUGAAGUUUUAAAUGAACAGUGUAAAACAGAAGACAUCAGCAUUCAUUAGGUCCCAGACCUCUUUGAGAAUCUGAUGAAAUUCUGGACAACCUCUCCUCCCACAAACAAGAUGUACUAGAAUACCUACACAUAAAAUGUUGCAUUCAAUUUUGGAAUGUGAAGAGAUCAUUUGAAGCCGAUCCAGAGGCCUCUAAGGUAGGACUUGACUGGUGCAGUAUUGGUGGCUGCUGGGUCAGAUGAGCUCCCUGCUAUUCCAAGAAACAAUACAUGUUUGCAGCCACUAAGAUUUGAGGACUUUUGUUAUUACUGCCUAUCCUGACAGACUCAGGUGCUACAACUAUUUAAGGGCA